UACGUAGGGGGCAAGCGUUGUCCGGAUUUACUGGGCGUAAAGAGCGUGUAGGCGGCCAAGCAGGUCCGUUGUGAAAACUCGAGGCUUAACCUCGAGAUGUCAUCGGAAACCAUCUGGCUAGAGUCCGGAAGAGGAAAGUGGAAUUCCUGGUGUAGCGGUGAAAUGCGCAGAUAUCAGGAGGAACACCGGCGGCGAAGGCGGCCCUCUGGAUCGUUGCUGACGCUGAGACGCGAAAGCGUGGGGAGCAAACAGG
rnacentral:rRNA from 1 species